CCUACGGGGUGCAGCAGUAGGGAAUCUUCCGCAAUGGACGAAAGUCUGACGGAGCAACGCCGCGUGAGCGAAGAAGGCCUUCGGGUCGUAAAGCUCUGUUGUUAGGGAAGAACAAGUAACGCAGUAACUGGCGUUACCGUGACGGUACCUAACGAGAAAGCCACGGCUAACUACGUGCCAGCAGCCGCGGUAAUACGUAGGUGGCAAGCGUUGUCCGGAAUUAUUGGGCGUAAAGGGCUCGCAGGCGGUUUCUCAAGUCUGAUGUGAAAGCCCCCGGCUCAACCGGGGAGGGUCAUUGGAAACUGGGAGACUUGAGUGCAGAAGAGGAGAGUGGAAUUCCAUGUGUAGCGGUGAAAUGCGUAGAUAUAUGGAGGAACACCAGUGGCGAAGGCGGCUCUCUGGUCUGUAACUGACGCUGAGGCUCGAAAGCGUGGGGAGCAAACAGGAUUAGAUACCCUGGUAGUC
rnacentral:rRNA from 1 species